GACGUAUCACAUUUUAGGACAACGCUUCCUUUCCACUUAUUUUGUGCUUAUUGCUUAAUUAAAUUUAAACUUGCACCUCGUAUCUUGUGCUUAUUGCUUAAUUAAAUUUAAACUUCAACCACUUUUGUUUUUACUUAUCUUGUGCUUAUUGCUUAAUUAAAUUUAAACUCGCGCUUUCCUUGAAAUUUAAGGUUGGCGCCUGUUUUAAAACUCUCUCCCUUUCCUUCUCAUUUGGGUGUGCGUGCAACAGAAGAGAAAUAAAGCAUCAGAGACAAGACAACCUCAUAACUAGGAAACCAGAGAAAAGAGAACCUUGAUUUCAUGGGUCCCAGAAGGAGGAAUUGGCGGAGGAAGAAAGCAGUUCCCGUGGAUGCAAUCCCCGCUCAGCAAGGAACACAGUCUGUGGAUUUUGAUGCUUUGUGUGAGGCCAAUGAGGGGAAAGUAAUGAACUUGACUGAGAACAAUGAUGUUGGGGGAGGUUUUUCUUGUGUUCAGGAAGGUAAGAAGUGUGGUAGUAAGAGUAAAGAGGAGAUGGAGGGGAGGGCAUUAGAGGGUAAUUUGGAGGAGGAGAAGAAAGAUGCACAAGACGAAAGCCACGGUAGAAAUGGUGGUGGGGUUGGAGGUUCUCCUUCUGUCGAGGUGGUUGUGAAGAAGAAGCGUGGCAGAAAAAGUAACAAGGAAAAGGAGGAGAUGAUGAUGUUGGAGGGAAAUUUGUUGAAGAAAGAUAGUAAUGAGGAUAGCCACGAUGUAAAGGGUGUUGGAGGUUCUUCUUCUGUUAAGGAAGUGAAGAGGAAGCGUGGGAGGAAAAGUAAAAAGGAGUUAGAGAAGAAAGAUGCUCAAAAGAAAAGCCACGAUGAAAAGGUUGUCGGAGGUUUUUCUUCUGUUAAAGUGAAGAAGAAGCCUGGAAGAAAAAGUAUAAAGGAAUUGGAGGAGAUGAUGUUGGAGAAGAGAGAUACUCAAGACGGUAGCAACGGUGAAAAUGGUGUUGGAGGUUCUUCAGUCAAAGAUGUGAUGAAGAAUAAGCGUGGCAGAAAAAGGAAAACGGAGGAAGAUGAGAUGAAGAUGUUGGAGAAGAAAGAUACUCAAGAUGAUAGCCACGGUGUAAAUGGUGUUGGAGGUUCUUCUUUUGUUAAGGAAGUGAAGAAGAAUAAGCGUGGCAGAAAAAGUACCAAGGAGAAGGAGGUGGAGGAUAUGGAGCAAAAGAUGUCAGAGGGCAAUUUGUUGGAGAAUGAGGACACUCAAGACAAAAACCACGGUGAAAAGGGUGGGGUUUCUGAGCAAAGAGGCGGUAGAAAGAGAAAGAUUCUUAAGAAAGAUGACUGGGAGUUUGAAAUGCCUGCGGAUUCUUCAGGAAGGGGCAGAAAAUAUAGCCUAAGGGGCGGUAAGGUCAAUGAAGAAGAGGAGGAAGAAGAACCAAAACUCAACAAGAAGGAUUCUAAGUGGAUUGAAGAGGUGUCCUUAAUGUGUCAUCAGUGUCAGAGAAAUGACAAAGGCGAGGUUGUGAGGUGCACACUUUGUAAGAGGAAGAGAUUUUGCCUACCCUGUUUAAAAAAUUGGUAUCCUCAUUUGAAAAAUGAUGAUGUUGCCGAGGCAUGUCCUGUAUGCCGUGGUAAUUGCAACUGCAAAGCAUGUCUGAAAUCUGAUGCCCUUAUUAAAAAAAUGAGGGAAAAAGCAGCAGAGACCAUUGAAGACGAGAAGGUUGAACUCUCUAUGCAUUUGCUGCAAGUACUUCUUCCGUAUUUAAGGCUGUUGGAAGAAGAACAGAUGAUUGAGAAUGAGACAGAAGCGAAAAUACUGGGGCUCUCAGUCUCAAAGCUGAAUAUAGUAAAGGCAGAUUUCUCUCCAAAGGAGCGUGUGUACUGUGACAACUGCAAAACGUCAAUAUUUGAUUACCACAGAAGCUGCACAAAGUGCUCCUUUGAUCUUUGUCUCAUCUGUUGCCGUGAGCUUCGUAGAGGGCAGCUUAUAGGGGGUGCAGAUCCAUUUGCAUUGCAGUUUGUCUGGAAAGGUAAGAAUUACUUGCAUGGUGGAAAAGAAGAUAAAAAGGCAGACCAAAAUACACCAAAUGUUAAUGCUAAGCCUGUAGUUCGUGAAUGGUCAAGAUCUGGGUGGCAUGCAGAAAGUGAUGGGAGCAUUCCUUGUCCAAAAGCCAAUAGUGAAUGUAACCAUGGUUCUCUUGAACUGAGAAGCAUAUUGGGUCAACAUUUUAUCUCUGAGUUAGUGGGUAAAGCGAAUGAACUAGCUCAAGCAUACAAGCUUCAAGAUGUAGUUAAGACCCCUGACAACAUGUGUUCGUGUUUGAGUCAUGAUGAAAAUGCAGAUGUUGGAUAUAAUAAUACGAGGAAGGCUGCUUCUCGUGAAGAUUCCUGUGACAACUAUUUAUAUUGUCCUCGGGCUGUAGAUCUACAGGACGAGGAUGUAAGGCAUUUUCAGUGGCAUUGGGAAAAGGGGGAGCCUGUUGUUGUCAGCAAUGUGCUUGAAUGUACAUCUGGUUUAAGCUGGGAACCACUUGUCAUGUGGCGUGCAUGCCGUCAGAUGACUUUUACCAAGCGUGAACACCAUUUGGAUGUUAAGGCCAUUGAUUGCUUAGAUUGGUGUGAGGGAGAAAUUAAUAUCCACCAAUUCUUCACUGGGUAUACAAAAGGUCGUGAGGAUUGGCGUUCUUGGCCUCAGAUACUGAAAUUAAAAGAUUGGCCUCCUUCUAAUUUAUUCGAGGAACGUCUGCCUCGUCAUUGUGCUGAGUUUAUAUCUUUCUUGCCCUUCAAGGAAUAUACUGAUCCUCUCGGAGGUUCUCUUAACCUUGCUGUGAGGUUGCCUAAAGAUUGUCUGAAGCCAGACAUGGGGCCAAAGACAUAUAUUGCUUAUGGAUUUUCUCAGGAGCUUGGACGUGGUGAUUCAGUGACUAAGCUCCAUUGUGAUAUGUCCGAUGCAGUAAAUGUGCUGACUCAUAUAUCUGAAGUGAAAUUGGAUUCAAGGCAACUUACUGCCAUUGAGAAGUUGAAACAAAAGCACUUUGAGCAAGACAAAAGGGAACUUCUUGGUGAUAAUCUGGAUGGAGAAUCUAAUGUUGACUUGCUUAAUAAUUCAUCUUCUACCAUAAAUGAUUUAGACAAGCAAAAUACUGACCAAGUCAUGGAACAUGGAGGUGGAUUUGGUGCUGGGAUAGAAGUUGAUCAAUUUCAGCAGCCCUCUGGUGGUAAUGAGGUUGCCAUUGCUAAUGAAGAUGGUCUUUCAUGUGGAUCAGAACUCAAAGAGGUUGAGAAAGUGAAAGUAAAACAAGAAAGUGAUCUGUUAUUUGCUGGGGAUGCUUUAGAAGGUGCUCUCUGGGAUAUUUUUCGGAGGCAGGAUGUACCUAAAUUGCAGGAAUAUCUGAAGAAGCAUUUCAGAGAGUUCAGGCAUGUCCAUUGCUGUCCUAUAACACAGGUUAUUCAUCCCAUCCAUGACCAAACCUUCUAUCUGACCAUGGAGCAUAAGAGGAAGCUUAAGCAGGAGUAUGGAGUUGAGCCCUGGACUUUUAUUCAAAAGGUAGGUGAUGCUGUUUUCAUUCCAGCUGGUUGUCCUCAUCAAGUCAGAAAUCUGAAGUCAUGUAUUAAGGUUGCAUUGGAUUUUGUCUCUCCUGAAAAUGUUGGGGAGUGCUUUCGUUUGGCAGAGGAAUUUCGCACACUUCCAAUAAACCACAUGUCUACGGAGGACAAAUUGGAGAGAUCCAAUUCUCACCAUGAUGUUUAGGUGCAAAAAAAAAGGGAGAUGCUAUCCCAAAUAUAUGCUGAGAUUCUGGAUAAAUGAGAAAAAGGCUUGAUAAUUUGGACACCAUUCUACCAUUGUUAAAGGAUUGGCUAAGCAAAAUGAGCUUGUUAAUGGAGAAUAUCUUGCAAGAAGUUCUAACCAUGUUAGAACUAGUCAACCACACAAUCAAACGACAUACUUUGAUGCUCAUUCAUCCAAUGUAUUUAUGAAGGUGAAGAAGAUGACGGUAUAUGCUAUGAAACAUGUGAUCGAAAAAUUGGAGAAAGCAAGGUUCGGGAAAACCGAGGUUCCGGAGUAGAUAAAUAUCAGAUCAAAGCCAAUUGGAGGUGUAAAUUUUGAGUUCAUUACCUUAGCUUAUUCAGGUGUGAUAAUGUUGGGAUCUAUUUACGGUUCCAUAUUUUGUUUUAGCAACCACACCUGAAAGCAUCAUACAUGACUUGAACGAAGGUGUACAUCAUACCUAGUGUACUUUCUGAACUUCAAAAUGCAUAGAUGAUGAUGAUUCUAUGUUGCAUAUGUGGCAAAA